UCGAGGACAACACAUACUCCCUUCCCCCUUGAUCCACAUCCUGGGGUAUACAAUUUUCCCAGGAUAAAGCAAUACCGCUAGCACAAAGCCAUAAGCAAUAAGCAGUAAAUGUUUCGGGGAAGAGAUUGAGAUGAUAUGCGCUUUUCCCUUCUGGAUUCACAACUCGAGGGUAUACAAUUUCUCCUUGUCGUGGUAAUACCCCACUCCAAUAGGCCAUAAAACGAGCCAAAAGAAUUACAAUAGA